CACUUAAUAUGUGCCAAGAUCUGUUCAUUUAUGAUCUCACUGAGUCCUGUGAGGUUGGCAUUGUUGUCUGGCGUUGUCUGAUAUAUAACAGUGCCAACCUCACAGGACUCAGUGAGGUGAAACUGAGGAUUAGGAAGGUGU
ensembl:miRNA